rnacentral:rRNA from 1 species
GACGAACGCUGGCGGCGUGCCUAAUACAUGCAAGUAGAACGCAGUUGCGAACGGGUGAGUAACGCGUAGGUAACUGCCUCAUAGCGGGGGAUAACUAUUGGCAACGAUAGCUAAUACCGCAUAAUGUGAGAUGGCCCUGCGUUGUAUUAGCUAGUUGGUGAGGUCAAGGCUCCCCAAGGCGACGAUACAUCGCCGCACUGAGAGGGUAAGCGGCCACGCUGGGACGUAGACACGGCCCAGACUCCUACGGGAGGCAGCAGAAGGGAAUCUUCGGCAAUGGAAGGAAGUCUUACCGAGCGACGCAGCGGUAGUGAUGAGGGUUUUCGGAUCAUAAAGCUCUGUUGGUAGAGAAGCGGUGACGAACCAGAAAGGGACGGCUAACUACGUGCCAGCCGCCGCGGGAAUUC